rnacentral:rRNA from 1 species
UAGGGAAUCUUCCGCAAUGGACGAAAGCCUGACGGAGCAACGCCGCGUGAGUGAAGAAGGAUUUCGGUUCGUAAAACUCUGUUGUUAGGGAAGAAAAAAUGUAUAGUAACUAUAUACAAAAGAGACGGUACCUAACCAGAAAGCCACGGCUAACUACGUGCCAGCAGCCGCGGUAAUACGUAGGUGGCAAGCGUUGUCCGGAAUUAUUGGGCGUAAAGCGCGCGCAGGUGGUUUAGAAAGUCUGAUGUGAAAGCCCACGGCUCAACCGUGGAGGGUCAUUGGAAACUAAUAAACUUGAGUGCAGGAGAGAAAAGUGGAAUUCCUAGUGUAGCGGUGAAAUGCGUAGAGAUUAGGAGGAACACCGGUGGCGAAAGCGGCUUUUUGGCCUGCAACUGACACUGAGGCGCGAAAGCGUGGGGAGCAAACAGG